UAUUCAGCCCAACUUGGACUUGGAGAAACGAGCCCAGAUCCUACGGAGGCAGCAGUGGGGAAUUUGGACAAUGGGGGCAACCCUGAUUCCAGCCAUGCGCUGGAGGUGAAAGAAGCUUCGGUUGUAAGCUCUUUCGGACGGAAAGAAAUCGCGCAGGUAAUAUCUGCGUGGAUGACGGUACCGUAAGAGAGCACGGCUAACUACGUGCCAGCAGCCGCGGUAAUACGUAGGGUGCGAGCGUUAAUCGGAAUUACUGGGCGUAAAGCGUGCGCAGGCGGCUUUGUAAGACAGGUGUGAAAUCCCCGGGCUUAACCUGGGAAUGGCGCUUGUGACUGCAAGGCUCGAGUGCGGCAGAGGGGGGUGGAAUUCCACGUGUAGCAGUGAAAUGCGUAGAGAUGUGGAGGAACACCGAUGGCGAAGGCAGCCCCCUGGGUCGACACUGACGCUCAUGCACGAAAGCGUGGGGAGCAAACAGGAUUAGAUACCCUGGUAGUCCACGCCCUAAACGAUGCCAACUAGUUGUUGGGGAAGGAGACUUCCUUAGUAACGAAGCUAACGCGUGAAGUUGGCCGCCUGGGGAGUACGGUCGCAAGAUUAAAACUCAAAGGAAUUGACGGGGACCCGCACAAGCGGUGGAUGAUGUGGAUUAAUUCGAUGCAACGCGAAAAACCUUACCUACCC
rnacentral:rRNA from 1 species